GCACCAGGCGCGAAAAACUUCACAAUGUGCGAAAGCACGAUGAGGGAAUCCCAAGUGCUUGCACGUAAGUGUAAGCUGUUUCUCUGUCUAAAACGCAGAGAGAGUAAGGGCUGGGUAAGACGGGUGCCAGCCGCCGCGGUAAUACCUGCAGCUCGAGUGGUGACCGUUAUUAUUGGGCCUAAAACGUCCGUAGCCGGUUUAAUAAAUGCCUGGGUAAAUCGGACCGCUUAACGGUUCGAAUUCCGGGUAGACUGUUAAACUUGAGACCGGGAGAAGUUAGAGGUACUCCUGGGGUAGAGGUGAAAUUCUGUAAUCCUAGGGGGACCACCAGUGGCGAAGGCGCCUAACUAGAACGGGUCUGACGGUGAGGGACGAAGCCCUGGGGCGCAAACGGGAUUAGAUACCCGUGUAGU
rnacentral:rRNA from 1 species